UGCAACGCCAUGCCGAACCCAGCACGCCACAUUUGUCAGUGUCAAUACAGCAAGGAGUCAAACAGAAGAGGAGCAAACUUUGCGUGGGUGCGGGGGGGAGUGAGGAGGGCGACCUCGUGGGGAUCGGCAAUGCCGUUGUAGCGGCCGGCGAGGAUGAUGGAGAUGGUGGGCGCGACGAAGGUGUAGGAGCCCCCGAUGACGGCGGGCAGGCGCGUGCCGAGGAAGCUCUGGAUCAGCGUGUUGAUGCCGGCGACGAACAGCAGCGUCUGGAUCACCCGCGCCUUCUCCUCCUGCAUCCAUCGGCAGCCAAAUGAGUGAGUCACAGAAGCAAGUGAGCGGUGCGACGCCGCGGCGGCGGCGGGAGGAGGGGACGUACAUUGCCGCCGCCCAUCUGGGGGACGAGCGCGGUGGGGAUGAUGACCGUGGUGCCGAGCAUGACGAGGUAGUGCUGGAAUCCGAGCAGGAUGG
rnacentral:lncRNA from 1 species